rnacentral:rRNA from 1 species
AGGACGAACGCUGGCGGCGUGCUUAACACAUGCAAGUCGAACGAUGAAGCCCUUCGGGAUGGAUCAGUGGCGAACGGGUGAGUAACACGUGGGCAAUCUGCCCUGCAUUCUGGGACAAGCCUUGGAAACGAGGUCUAAUACCGGAUACGACGCAUCUCCGCAUAGAGUGUGCGUGGAAAGCUCCGGCGAUGCAGGAUGAGCCCGCGGCCUAUCAGCUUGUUGGUGGGGUAAUGGCCUACCAAGGCGACGACGGGUA